rnacentral:rRNA from 1 species
GAUGAACGCUGGCGGCGUGCCUAAUACAUGCAAGUCGAGCGAAGCGGGGACGGGUGAGUAACACGUAGAUAACCUCCUAUAAGACUGGGAUAACUUCGGGAAACCGGAGCUAAACCGGAUACUUAUACAUGGAUUCGCGCUUCAUUGGCUAGUUGGUAAGGUAACGGCUUACCAAGGCAACGAUGCAUAGCCGACCUGAGAGGGGGAACGGCCAAACUGGAACUGGGACACGGUCCAGCUGCCUACGGGAGGCAGCAGUAGGGAAUCUUCCGCAAGGGGCGAAAGCCUGACGGGGAAACGCCGCGUGAGGGAUGAAGGUCUUCGGAUCGUAAAACUCUGUUAUUAGGGAAGCGGUACCUAAUCAGAAAGCCACGGCUAACUACGUGCCAGCAGCCGCGGUAAUUC